rnacentral:rRNA from 1 species
GACGAACGCUGGCGGCGUGCUUAACACAUGCAAGUCGAACGGUGAACCAGAGCUUGCUCUGGGGAUCAGUGGCGAACGGGUGAGUAACACGUGGGCAACCUGCCCCAGACUCUGGGAUAACCUCGGGAAACCGAUGCUAAUACCGGAUACGACCACUUCGGACAUCCGACGGUGGUGGAAAGUUUUCGGUCUGGGAUGGGCCCGCGGCCUAUCAGCUAGUUGGUGGGGUAAUGGCCUACCAAGGCGACGACGGGUAGCCGGCCUGAGAGGGCGACCGGCCACACUGGAACUGAGACACGGUCCAGACUCCUACGGGAGGCAGCAGUGGGGAAUAUUGCACAAUGGGCGAAAGCCUGAUGCAGCGACGCCGCGUGAGGGGACGACGGGCCUUCGGGUUGUAAACCUCUUCUAGCAGGGACGAAGCGAAAGUGACUGUACCUGCAGAAGAAGCACCGGCUAACUACGUGCCAGCAGCCGCGGUAAU